rnacentral:lncRNA from 1 species
GGUAACUAACAAUUAGUAUUUCAUUUUUCUAACUUUUUCAUAACUAGCGUACAACAGUUUUUGUGACAUAAGCCAGCCUCUUUAGGUUAGGUGGAUAGUGACUGCUACCUACGUUACGUUCUCAUGACAAAAUUAUUGGUGACUAGGAGGAUAUGUUUAUAACAACAAUGAUGAUAUUUGUGUGGAUGAAUCAACGUUACAUGAUGUAAUAUACCACAUUAGUAUUAGUACAAUAAUAAUCUCCAUGGAGACAAAACAUGUGGCAUAAUUGAUGGUUUGAAUUUGAAAGCCGAUUUUAGUAUAGUUAUCAGUUUCGUUUCGUUUCGUUGAUGUAUGCGUAACUUCGAAGAAGCUACCAUCGCUCCAAAUCCAAUUUCUAAUAUGUCGACUCGACGGGUCAAAUUCAUUUUCAACUAGAGCUAGUACCAUUCAUAUGACCUUAAUUUCCAAGCUAUGAUGACGGUCACAGAACCUAUUUUAUUUUAGAGUUAACAUAUACUAUUAUCAAAUAAAAGUUGAAUUAUUUCUUUUUCUUUUUUUGGUCAAGUAGUCUAGUGGUUAGAAUUCACCUUUUUCAAGGUGAAUAAGUGGGGUGUCCGGGAUUCGAACCCUGACCUCUGCAUAUAACAUUGCAUGUCCCUGCCAACUGAGCUAUGCUCACGGGAACAAAGUUGAAUUAUUUCUUUAAAUAACUGAUAAUAUAUUUAUUUUUUAGGCUUAAAUAUGGAAAUGGUCCCUGUAAAUAUCUGGCAUUUUGGAUUUAGUCCCUAUAAAAAUAUUUUUUGGUUUUAGUCCCUGCAAAUAUAGAAUAUUUGGUUUUGGUCCUUGGUAUUUUGUUUUAAUCCUUAUAAAAUCAUUUUAUAUUGAAAUUGGUCACUAUAAUAUUCAUUUUAAUCCUCAUUUUAAAGGAUUAAAAUCAAAUAUUCUACAUAUUACAAAGACCAAAUCCAAUAUGAAUCAAUUUUACAAAGACAAAAAGAGUAUAUUUAAUUGACUUGGCCGGUUUGUUGGAAGUUGAUAUGUAGGAUUAAACUACAAACACGACAAAGAAACCAUUGUCAAAAGCAUUGGCAUUUCGUGUCUGCAUUUUCUAAUUUUAUUACGGCUAGUGGAUACAGGAAACUUCCUCCAACAAUGCAAUGUUGUCUUGUCAUGAGAAGGGAUUUGCAUAUAUCCACAUUUUCUAUUGGGAUAUUUUUUGUAUUGGACGACUUCGGAUAUUUCUUGGAAGUUUCGGUAUGGGUCCAAAAAAAUAGAUUAAAAGGCAAUGAAUUGCUCAUCAUUCUAUGCCAUCAUCAAUCCAUGUAAGAAAAGCAACCGUGGUACCUUUUCUUCUAAUCUUCUUCUAGAGAAGACUAACUAUUAUUAUUCUCCCGCGUCGUGCGAAAAUCCUAAUGCCAUUGCCAACAAAUUCUCGGAAAUACAAGUCAAUGAAUACUUUAUAUAAUUAUACAAAGUAAUCAAGAUAGUCAAUGAAUUAUUAUUCUCUUUUAUUUUUAAAGAUAAUGAUGAACUAAAGUCUAAAUUGAUGAAUUAAUGAUAGUUUAUGGACUAUUUAUUUAGUAUAAUUUUAUUGUUUAUUGACCAAAUUGUUGGUUUAUUCGAUAAAUAAUGAAGUGUGCAGAUAAAAUGGAUUAGGUCAUUUAUUUAUACGAAGUUAAGUUGAUUAAUGAUGGUUGUGAAGGCUUUUAACCUUAAUAUAUAUUUAUUGGUUUUGGCAGGAGUAUGAAAUAUAAAGGACAAAGUGCAGUGAAAUACAAGUCAUCGAUUCGGAAGGAGAUUGAAGAGGAAGGGUAUAGAAUAUGGGGAAAUGUAGGAGACCAGUGGACUGAUCUCCAAGGGGAGUGUUUGGGCAAUCGUACUUUCAAGAUCCCCAAUCCUAUGUACUGCAUUUCUUGAUUCACGAAUGCCACUUGUGUAGUACUCAACAAACUAAAUGAUUUGCUUUGAACAAAUGAUCUAAUUUCAUCUCUUGUCUUAUUAAUAUCAUUAUUCACGCUAGCGAAAAGACACAGACAUUUACGUGUUCGACUUUCCGCUCUUUUUAUUUCGUUAACGUUUGAAAAUUUAUUAGAUUAUAGGGAUGGUAAUGGGUACCCAAUGGGUAGGGUAUUAUAGUAUCCAUCUCCAUACCCGCGUUUGUAAAAAAAUAUCCGUACCCGAACCCGUACCCUCGUGGGCAACAACUUUAGUGUCCUUCCCCAUACCCUAUGGGCACCUAAGUGCUCAUACCCGCACCCAUUACCCGCAUUUUAACUAUGAAAAGACAAAAAAAAAAAACCACAAUUGAAAUAAAACUAUGAUCCAAAAAAUUUCAAAUCAACUUAUAAAAUAAUAUGAAUCGUAGUAUUUAGCCAAAUAAAAAAUAAUAUGUAUCGUAGUAUUUUGCAGGUACCCAUCGGACUUGGAUCCAAUUGUCAUCCCUUUAGAAGUAUAAGAUUAAACACGGUAAAAAAUAUUUAUUAAUAUUUACUUUUGCGGUUAGUUUGUUUUGGAUUUGAAACAAUUUACUACGAUCUCUUUUUAAAAAUAGCUUACUCAAAACGCUUAUUUUAUGCAAAACACCUUAUUUUUAAAAAUAGCUUAUUCAAAACAGCUUAUUUUAUGAAAAUACCUUAUUUUAAAAAUAAAAUAAAAAAGCUUAUUCAAAACAUCUUAUUUUAGAAAACAACUUAUUUUAUGAAAAAACAACUUAUUUUUGAAAACAACUUCUUUUAUGAAAAACAUGUUUGAAUAAGUUGUUUUUUGAAAAUAAGCUGUUUUGAAUAAGCGGUUUUUAAAAUAAGGUGUUUUUCAUAAAAUAAGUUGUUUUUUUAAAAGGGUUAAUAGUGUUUUCCACCCCUGUAAUAUAUGUCAUUUUUUGUUUUCGCCCCUAUAAAAUUUUCGGUUUGAUUUGCACCCUCGUAAAAAAUUUAUUUUCCGGAAAACACCCUUAAUAGGCCAUUCAAAAACCAAAAAUUGUUGGUGAAAUUACAUGUUCAUAUAUGCAAAAAUGAUAAGUUAUGAAGAUUGUGCUAAANGAUCAAUCAAGGAAUGUGCCCUGCAAAUCCUGUGGUACUAAGAUUGUUUAAAACGUUGAUAGAGAAAGGAUUCAAAGUGUUCUUAGUAACGGGUAGAUACGAAGGAACACUUGCCAAAAUCACUACGGACAAUUUGCAUAACCAAGGAUUCAUCGGCUACCAACGCCUUAUUUUAAGGUAACUAACAAUUAGUAUUUCAUUUUUCUAACUUUUUCAUAACUAGCGUACAACAGUUUUUGUGACAUAAGCCAGCCUCUUUAGGUUAGGUGGAUAGUGACUGCUACCUACGUUACGUUCUCAUGACAAAAUUAUUGGUGACUAGGAGGAUAUGUUUAUAACAACAAUGAUGAUAUUUGUGUGGAUGAAUCAACGUUACAUGAUGUAAUAUACCACAUUAGUAUUAGUACAAUAAUAAUCUCCAUGGAGACAACAUGUGGCGUAAUUGAUGGUUUGAAUUUGAAAGCCAGUUUUAGUAUAGUUAUUUGUUUCGUUUCAUUGAUGUAUACGUAACUUCGUAGAAGCUAUCGCCGCUCUAAUUCCAAUGUCUAAUAUGUCGAUUCGACAGGUCAAAUUCAUUUUCAACUAUAGCUAGUACCAUUCAUAUGACCUUAAUUUCCAAGCUAUGAUGAUGGUCACAGAACCUAUUUUAUUUUAGAGUUAACAUAUAUUAUUAUCAAAUAAAAGUUGAAUUAUUUCUUUUUCUUUUUUUUUGUCAGGUAGUCUAGUGGUUAGUAUUCACCUUUUUCAAGGUGAAUAAGUGAGGUGUCCGUGAUUCGAACCCUGACCUCUGCAUAUAACAAUGUAUGUCCCUGCCAACUGAGCUAUGCUCACGGGAACAAAGUUGAAUUAUUUCUAUAAAUAACUGAUAAUAUACUUAUUUUUUAUUACAUAAAAACAUGUAUCCUUGUAUUAUUUUAACGAAAUCUUUAAAAUAAAUAAAAACAUCCAAUAAAACAAAAGGAGUAUAUUUAAUUGACUUUGGGUGCCAUUUAAUCUGGGAAAGAAUACUUCUUUCCCACUAUGGAAAAGUCUUUUUUUAACCAUUAGAUUGAGUAGUACCACCAUUGUUACUAUAGUCUAUCCACACUUUAUUUUUUUCACAUCAUCUCUAACCUUAACAACUUAGUUUAUUAUCGUCACCCAAUGAAAAUUUCAUCUCAAUUUAUUUUUCCCUUCAAAAAUAUUCUUGAAUCAAAAUAAAGAGAAAGGGAUCUAAUUGUGAAACCCAACUAUUCAUCUUCAUUCAUUCAUUUAUGUGUUCUUCAAACAAAUCACUCAUCUUCACCAAUCUUUUCUUCCUAAAAGUUGAGAUCUGGAACAUCACAACAACAAAACAAAUUUGGAUCUGGAAAACCACCACAACAAGCUUCACUAUAUUUGAAGAAAAAAAACGUUGAAAAGCAAGGAAAUUUUGAAUUUUUUUAUUUGAAUAUUUAUUUUGGAGGGUUUAUAAUUCUAGGUUUGUUUUUGUUUUCCCUAAUUUUAUAUUAUUGGUUGUGGGGCUUUUUUGAAUGUUGUUGAUGAUCUACAUUUAUGUAUUUGAAAAAUCUCAAUGUUUUUUUCUUCUUUUGUUAUUAUGUCGUGUAGGUUGCUUGGCUAUAUUUUUGUGUGAUUAACAUGUUGAACUAUUUGUACCGAGGAGCAAUAACUAGCAAUAAUGUUAAUGGACAUCGUGGGACUUGAACAGAUUAUAAACCUAGAUUGUAAAUUCAUAAUGAUAACUAACAAAAUUGAUAAAGAUGGUGGGUGAGAGAGACAUGUGAGAUAGAGUGGUUGGAAAAGAUAGUAAUAUAAAAAUCCAGUAUUAAGAAACUAUAGUAAUAGUAUGUUUUUCAUAUGAUCCAAUGAUUAAAAAACACUUUUAGAUUAAAUGGCACCGACUUUGGCCGGUUUGUUGGAAGUUGAUAUGUAGGAUUAAACUACAAACACGACAAAAAAGCCAUUGUCAAAAGCAUUGGCAUUUCGUGUCUGCAUUUUCUAAUUUUAUUACGGCUAGUGGAUACAGGAAACUUCCUCCAACAAUGCAAUGUUGUUUUGUCAUGAGAAGGGAUUUGCAUAUAUCCACAUUUUCUAUUGGGAUAUUUUUUGUAUUGGACGACUUCGGAUUUCUUUGCAAUGUAUUUUCCUCUUAAUUUCACUCGUUAGUUAAAUGGAAACAAGUAUUUUCUCUUCUCCAACUCCAAAUUCAUUCACUUAAUGACAGAUAGUUAAAAUUAACUUACAAAGGAUUUUGUUCCCUUCCCUUCAAAUAAAAUAAAAUAAAAUACCUCUAAAAUUUAAAAGAAAAAUGCCAACGAAUGUUCACUGGACAUUUUUAACGUGGAGAAACUCAAAAAAAAAAAAAAAAAAAAAAGGAUAAUUGGAGAACUUUAAGGAUUUUAAAUACAUUUUCACGUCAAAAACAAGAAGGAUUUUAAAUACAUUUUAAAAUUCAUUGACUUAAAAAAUAUUAUUUUGAUGCGAUCUUGUUUGUAAAAGAAAGUUUGGCUGGUAAUGUCAUUCCAUAAAACAAUUUUAAUAAUUAAUUUUCUUUUUGGCCUUUUGAUAUAAUGAAAUUGUUGCAUAUAACUGGGCUCUUGGUAGUUAGAAUUAUUAAUUAUAUAUGUUAGCCAAAUAAUGAGUAAGUUUUGUACUACUCAUAUAUGAAUAAAGAAUCAUGCAACCUUAAUAAUUAAUUUCCUUCAAUUAAUAAAAAUUAGGUUCAAUUAACAACUGAGUAUACUCGGUCAAUAAAGGGGAAAAGGAAUAGUAGACUUAGACUCCGUUUAGUUUGCGUUUAUGAAAAAUAAUUUAUGUAAAUAAGUAAGUUUUUAUUUUAAUUUAUAAGCUAUUACUAACGAAAAUUGUAUCUUCAUAAAUAGUUUUUCAUAAACUACCUUAAAAACUUAUAAAUAAUACAUAAAAAUUUAUUUAUUUACAUAAACCGUUUUAUAUAAGCUAUAAAAUAAGUUAAUUCAAAUGGGCCUUCGUCAGCUCUAAAACUCAGCUUUUUUCUAACUUAAGUUUGAACUAACUCUACAAUGUCACGCUGCUGACAAUGCCAAAUUUAGCAUGCUUGCUUACGUAUGUAUGUUGUCCAAGUCAAUGAUCAAUGCAAAUAAACAUUUUGAAAGCUACCUCUUAAUUUACUUUUCGUCUUGCUUUGCGUGUCUGCAUUUUCUAAUUUUAUUAAGGAUAGUGGAUACAGGAAACUUCCUCCAAUGCAAUGUUGUCUUAUCAUGAGAAGGGAUUUGCAUAUAUCCACAUUUUCUAUUGGGAUAUUUUUUGUAUUGGACGACUUCGGAUUCCUUUUCCUUAAAAUUUCUUGGAAGUUUCGGUGUGGGUGCAAAAAAUUAGAUUAAAAGGCAAUGGGUUGCUUGUCAUUCUAUGCCAUCAUCAAUCCAUGUAAGAAAAGCAACCGUGGUACCUUUUCUUCUAAUCUUCUUCUAGAGAAGACAUACUAUUAUUAUUCUCUCUCGUGUCGUGCGAAAAUCCUAAUGCCAUUGUCAACAAAUUCUCAGAAUCGGACACAUUUUUCCAAUCCCUUAUUAUAAAUAUUCUGCUUUGUUUUGUUUG